rnacentral:rRNA from 1 species
CUACGGAUGGUCAUGCGUCGCAUUAGCUAGUUGGCGGGGUAACGGCCCACCAAGGCGACGAUGCGUAGGGGUUCUGAGAGGAAGGUCCCCCACACUGGUACUGAGACACGGACCAGACUCCUACGGGAGGCAGCAGUGAGGAAUAUUGGUCAAUGGCCGCAGGGCUGAACCAGCCAAGUCGCGUGAGGGAUGACGGUCCUAUGGAUUGUAAACCUCUUUUGUCAGGGAGCAAAGGGCGCCACGUGUGGCGCUUUGCGAGUACCUGAAGAAAAAGCAUCGGCUAACUCCGUGCCAGCAGCCGCGGUAAUACGGAGGAUGCGAGCGUUAUCCGGAUUUAUUGGGUUUAAAGGGUGCGCAGGCGGAAUGUCAAGUCAGCGGUAAAAUUUCGGGGCUCAACCCCGUCGUGCCGUUGAAACUGGCGUUCUUGAGUGAGCGAGAAGUAUGCGGAAUGCGUGGUGUAGCGGUGAAAUGCAUAGAUAUCACGCAGAACUCCGAUUGCGAAGGCAGCAUACCGGCGCUCAACUGACGCUCAUGCACGAAAGCGUGGGUAUCGAACAGGAUUAGAUACCCUGGUAGUCCACGCAGUAAACGAUGAAUACUAACUGUCCGGGCAGAAUGAUGCCUGG